UAGGGAAUCUUCGGCAAUGGACGAAAGUCUGACCGAGCAACGCCGCGCGAGUGAAGAAGGUUUUCGGAUCGUAAAACUCUGUUGUUAGAGAAGAACAAGGACGUUAGUAACUGAACGUCCCCUGACGGUAUCUAACCAGAAAGCCACGGCUAACUACGUGCCAGCAGCCGCGGUAAUACGUAGGUGGCAAGCGUUGUCCGGAUUUAUUGGGCGUAAAGCGAGCGCAGGCGGUUUCUUAAGUCUGAUGUGAAAGCCCCCGGCUCAACCGGGGAGGGUCAUUGGAAACUGGGAGACAUGAGUGCAGAAGAGGAGAGUGGAAUUCCAUGUGUAGCGGUUAAAUGCGUAGAUAUAUGGAGGAACACCAGUGGCGAAAGCGGCUCUCUGGUCUGUUACUGACGCUGAGGCUCGAAAGCGUGGGGAGCAAACAGG
rnacentral:rRNA from 1 species